GAGAGUAGGGGUGGAGGGCCAAGGAGCUGGGUGAGGUGCCAAGCCUCUGUCCCCACCCCAG
ensembl:miRNA